GCCGGAGUGGCGAAAUGGCAGACGCGCACGCUUCAGAAGCGUGUGAUAGCAAUAUCUUGGAGGUUCAAGUCCUCUCUCCGGCA
rnacentral:tRNA from 1 species